GUUGUGUAAAAUAUGAUCAUUAUUAUUAUUGUGUGCAUUUUGUAGGCUGGGCCGCAAAUAUAUUCAUUGUGGGCCGUAUGCGGCCCGCGGGCCGCGAGUUUGACACCCUUGGUCUAAAAUAUAAAAUGCUCAACUAAGUUCAAGCAUUUUAAAUUUUUAUCAAAGUCGUAUGUAUCAUAGAUUGGAAUAGCUGUGAUAAAAUCUGCAUCACUAAUUUACUAUUGUUUUAUGUCAUAAAAAUUUAAAUACCUUAUAUGUAAAUAUCAUAGAUUCACUAACUACUUUCAGUUUUAUAGCUGUAAUCUGCAAUUUUUCAUAAUGAUCGUCUUUAAAACGAUCAUUAUGGAAAAUUGCGGUUUACGUUAUGAAAGUGAAUUGAACCUGGAUCUUUCAGAUGACGCAUGUAAAAAAUCAUCGACAUCAAAUCGUCAGUCAGAAGACUAUGUAAAAGUGAGCUACAUCAUAUUCUGAAGGACUAGAUUCAAUUUCAGAUCCAAAAGCCUUCAGAUUUAUUAAAUAAGAUUCGGAUGAUCUCAUUGAACAUCAUCCUAUAUCAAACCAACUCCACUUGAUAUCUAACCGUAUGGAAAAGGUCUUAAAAUCUAUAAAGUGUGGGAUCUCUUAUGUAAAUAUUACCGAUAUAAAAAAUCCCGUGACGGAUUGGUAUGAAAACGCUUCAGCUUUCUUGCUGGAUGUCUUAGGUUCGAUUCCAGAUACCAUUCCUUUGAAAAUUUUUAUAUUUAGUGUCUGGGACUCAGCUGUCACAAUCCCUAGCUUCACAAUCCGGUGCUCUCCAGGAAUGGGCAGCCUGUGGCGCGCCUUGUUUCACCCCGACAUUUGAUAUCAUUUUCUUUUCUAUAGAGUAUCUGUUAAUAAAAAGCCCCAUGAUAUUUUCUUCAUAAGUAGUUUCUAAUAAUAUGUACUAAAAUAAGAGGGAAUAUAUUUGUAUUUUCAUAUGUGAUAAGGUAAACUCUCAUGCAAAUAAAUAUCGAUUUGAAUGAAUUUCAUACAUAUUUGGAUAUACUAGAUCAUCAUUUUAAAUUUUAUAUUAAUUUCCGUCUUUGUCAGAUAUUAAGUGCUGGGACAAUUUAAGUUGGCUACCACGUCGCCCACACCCGUGAUGGUAAUGGCUGUUGUAUGAAAAAGUUCAACGAGAUAGUCCUGGACCUCUCCUGAAAAACUGGAGAUGUUGGACUUGAAAUUGAACUCGAAUUCUCCAAUGUUAUAAACAAUUGUUUUACUAUGCAGCUGCUCGGCAGACAUGAUAAUAAUUAGAUUAGGAUAGUUAUCUUAAGCUUCCAUAUCUCAUUCAGGCUAUUUUUCCUGAGGCGGCUACUUUUAAAGUCUACCACGGGUUGGCCAAUAUUUAUGGUAGGGUCAACUAAAGGUUGGAGGAUGGGUUUAACGAUCGAACCUGGAUUCCUGAAAAACUGGAGAUGUGGGACCUUGACCCUCAAAAAUAGUAAGAGAAUGCAUUAUCUUGCGGCCAAAUGACCGCAAGGUAAUGUAUGAUCAUAAUUAUAUAUAUUUCUGUUGUGAACUCAAAAAAUUGUUAUAUGGAUUAUAUAUAUAUAAUCUGGAAUAUAAAGAAGUCUGUCGGAUGUCUACGUGGUAAAGCAUUUGUUUACCAUCUUGAAGGACUGGGUUCAAUUCCAGCUCUCUUACAUUUCCAAUUUUUCGGGAAGGAUCUGGCUACAAUCCGUUGAAUCCCAUCUUUCAUUUUCCAACCUUAAGUUGAUCCUAUCAUGGGUAUUAGCCAACUUAUGAUUGGCUCUAAAAGUGACCGCUGCCAGGUGUAGAAUAUCCCAAGUAUAAUAUGGGGUUUAUCUGAAAUUAGCCUAUACAAAGAACUAUCUUUGUUAUAAUUUUGAUAAUCACUAAUGUCUCUCUUCUACAACAUUUCAGUUCAUUUACUAAUUUCUAUUGUAAAUUGCUUAUGUAUCAUCUAUUGUUAUCAAUUUCUUAACUACAGAAUGAAGACUAGAUAUCGAAUUUAAUUCCUAACUGACCAAAAUUAUAAGUUAUACUUACACAAAUAUUGUACUAUAUAUAAAUUAUAUACAGUAUUUAUGUAAUGCUUUGUGUGUGAUAUAGUAUUUGUAAAAUAAUGUAUAAAUGUUGUUUCAUUCUUAUUGCAUUCAAGUUGUACUAUUUUAAGAUGUAAUUCCGAUGAAUUAGCAUAAAGAAUCGAAUCGGUAGAUUAAUUAUAAAUCAAUUGUUGCUAGUCGUACCCGUAAUAGAAUUGCUCAAUAUAGUAGAUUGAAAGAUGAGAAUCAUUGUAUUGCGCUUGACUUUCUUGCAGAAAUGAGUAAUGGAACAAAAUCAAUUCUGGGUAUUUAAAUAGAUAGCUAUGGGUCUUUCUGGCAGGUGAUUAAAUUGUAUUCAUGCAUCUAGAACAGUGGUUCUUAAUCUUUUUGGAGCCAUGGGAUACUUAAUUAUAAAAAAAAUUUUUGUGGAAUAGAAAAAUUAAUAUUGUUUAUAUAAAACUGUACAA
rnacentral:lncRNA from 1 species